rnacentral:rRNA from 1 species
GUGGGGAAUCUUAGACAAUGGGCGCAAGCCUGAUCUAGCCAUGCCGCGUGAGCGAUGAAGGCCUUAGGGUUGUAAAGCUCUUUCGUGGGGGAAGAUAAUGACUGUACCCCAAGAAGAAGCCCCGGCUAACUCCGUGCCAGCAGCCGCGGUAAUACGGAGGGGGCUAGCGUUGUUCGGAAUUACUGGGCGUAAAGUGCACGUAGGCGGACUGGAAAGUCAGGGGUGAAAUCCCGGGGCUCAACCCCGGAACUGCCUUUGAAACUCCCAGUCUUGAGUUCGAGAGAGGUGAGUGGAAGUCCGAGUGUAGAGGUGAAAUUCGUAGAUAUUCGGAGGAACACCAGUGGCGAAGGCGGCUCACUGGCUCGAUACUGACGCUGAGGUGCGAAAGCGUGGGGAGCAAACAGGAUUAGAAACCCGAGUAGUCC